GGGGCUAUGGCGGAAUGGUAGACGCUAAUGACUUAAAAUCAUUUGAUCUUUACGGUCGUAAGGGUUCAAGUCCCUUUAGCCCCA
rnacentral:tRNA from 1 species